UACGUAGGGGGCAAGCGUUAUCCGGAUUUACUGGGUGUAAAGGGAGCGCAGACGGAACUGUAAGUCUGAUGUGAAAGCCCGGGGCUCAACCGCGGAACUGCAUCGGAUACUGUGGAUCUAGAGUGCCGGAGAGGCGAGCGGAAUUCCAGGUGUAGCGGUGAAAUGCGUAGAUAUCAGGAGGAACACCGGCGGCGAAGGCGGCUGGCUGGACGGCAACUGACGUUGAGGCUCGAAAGCGUGGGGAGCAAACAGG
rnacentral:rRNA from 1 species